ACCCCAAGGCCCCAGGCCCAACAUUAGGAAAACUAACCCCUGUGCCCUGAAGCUGCAAGAUGUUCCCUCACCCAACCCCCAUGUCAAAACCCCUCCAGCAGCAUGUAGCACCUCAGGUGUUGCACAAUGUUACCACAAGAUGUUCCAUGUAGAUAACCCUAACGGGCCCCCUAUCACAAGAUGUUCCUUUUAGACAGUCCUACUGGUUAAACUUGAGAACUAGGUUUAAAAACAGGAACUGAAAGGACAGAAUGCAAUUUUAUGGUUUUUCUGAGAACAAAAAGUUGAAAAACAAGUUUACCCCCCUAGGUGACUCAACUGCUGAAUUCAGAGGGACCAAUAGGAAGGCUGUUGCUGUGCUAAGCUAAGACCUAACCCACCUGUUCCAUAUAAAAGAUCUAUACCCCAAAGCCCGGUGUGCCAGCUCAUCGAAGCUCCGGCUGAGGUUUUGCUGUGCACCCGCAGGCGCCUGUGUGAGAAUAAACGCCUCCUGCUUUUUGCAGCCAGUGUCUCGUGUGGUUCAUUCCGGGUUUGGGAUCUGUGGAUAUUUCAUUGUGGAGGUUCCACCGAGAUCCAAGAUCCCGGUUCCGGUUCCGAUCCCGGUCCCUAUCCGGAGGACACCCGACAUCACUGGGAGACUCAUUUGCAUGCUUUGCAAUUGGUCCAGAACGAGGUCUGGAAGCCUCUAGCCGCAGCAUACAAAGAGGAACUUAAAACCCCCUUGCUGCCACAUCCCUUCAAGGUCGGAGAUACCGUCUGGGUAUGCAGGCACCAGAGCAGGAACCUCGAACCGCGGUGGAAAGGACCCUACACUAUCCUGCUGACCACUCCUACUGCACUCAAAGUGGACGGCAUCGCUGCUUAGAUCCAUGCUUCCCACGUGAAGACUGCACAUCCACAGGAGUCCGCAGACACCUCUCCGGAUCCAGAAUGGAAGUUGCAACGUACCCAAAAUCCGCUAAAGAUAAGACUCACUCGCUGUUAAUUUUUCUUGCUUUGUGCUGUGUCUUCCCCAUAUCAGUUAACCCCAACCAAUCUGUGAGCCAGACAUGACAAGUAUUAUUAGGGACAAAAAAUAUAAUUUAAAAAAAAAAAAAAAAAAAAAAAACAGGAUCCCCCACUUUCUGCCGACUCUUGCAGGAGCCUAAAAUGGUACGGGGCAGGGCCAUGUACCGCAUUUGCCUGCAACCCCUUAAACAUUACCUUUACUCAGGCAGGCAAAGCAUCAAAAGAUUAGAUAAAAAAAAAAAAAAAACAAUGGGGCCUGAGAGUAUAUCAUAAAACUGCCUAUGACCCUGGGGUCCUAUUCAAAAUUAGAUUAAUAGUAAAUACCAACCCCCAACCAGUAUGCUGAGCCGUCAGCUGAAAUAAUGCUGGAAUCCAAGCAGAUGGGUCAAUGGAUAUAAGAUUAUAUCCAUGAUAUAAAAAAAAAAGGGGGGAAUGAAGGACCCCAAGGCCCCAGGCCCAACAUUAGGAAAACUAACCCCUGUGCCCUGAAGCUGCAAGAUGUUCCCUCACCCAACCCCCAUGUCAAAACCCCUCCAGCAGCAUGUAGCACCUCAGGUGUUGCACAAUGUUACCACAAGAUGUUCCAUGUAGAUAACCCUAACGGGCCCCCUAUCACAAGAUGUUCCUUUUAGACAGUCCUACUGGUUAAACUUGAGAACUAGGUUUAAAAACAGGAACUGAAAGGACAGAAUGCAAUUUUAUGGUUUUUCUGAGAACAAAAAGUUGAAAAACAAGUUUACCCCCCUAGGUGACUCAACUGCUGAAUUCAGAGGGACCAAUAGGAAGGCUGUUGCUGUGCUAAGCUAAGACCUAACCCACCUGUUCCAUAUAAAAGAUCUAUACCCCAAAGCCCGGUGUGCCAGCUCAUCGAAGCUCCGGCUGAGGUUUUGCUGUGCACCCGCAGGCGCCUGUGUGAGAAUAAACGCCUCCUGCUUUUUGCA